CGGACCGCAGCCGGGUUUGCUUUCUUAGCGGCGACUUCUCGGCGAGGCCCGGCCACCGUUGCGCGGUGCCAAGCUCGAAGCGCCGCGCAGGGGCCGAGCCAAGCCGCCGGCCCGGCCCGGGUGUCCCAGCCCCCGGCUCGGGCAGACCUCGUGGGCUUGCAGUGUUUGCAAACCCAUAAUUAAUGCAAUCUGCAGAAACGAAAACAUUCCACUUAAAUGUGUUUUUGAACAAGUGCUUGAGAAAACACGCAGGGAGAGAGAACACCUCUGGUGGAGAGAUGCUUCUAAGUGCCCGGGACGGUCCUGAAGGCGUUUAUUGUAUCGAAAAUACCAACGGGUGAGCUUUUCAGCAAAGCUCAAGCCGCCGGGAACCUUUUUUUUUUUUUUCCUAUUCGAGCAGUACCAGGGGGAAGGAGUUAGUGAGUUCACGGUUCAUACCUAAAAUUCUUCUGGGGCGGCCCUGGUCCCUGCCUUGCGUCUCACAAAUGACGUGCAGAUUAGAAACUGCCUGCCCGAUCAGGAGGAGGUUCCCAGAGGCUCAGCGGCCCUGGGGGGCUUUCGUCUCUGCAGCGGGGCCGCGGAGCGAGACUUGCUGUGCCUGUCAGUGCCUCUGCCCAUCUGGACACACGUGAUGGGCUUAGACGCCCGUGUGUGUAAACAGCCGCCCACCGCGGGGCAUCCGAGGCCCCAGAGAAACGGAGACCAAGCCUCACUUCUUUUGCAGCAGGCUGUCUCUGCGGCCACAGCUGUUCUGAAAGUGCCCAAAGCACAUGGCACCUCAGGGGGCCUCCUGGAUCUGCUGGUCUCUGGGUGGAAAAGCAGGAUAGGGUGUUCAUUCCUGGAACUGCUGGACUCCCUGUGGGUUUUCUUCUCUUUUCCGCCCGCACUCUUAGAAGCUAAGCACUUGCUUUCAGGUUGCCUUGGCCUUGGCCUUCCUAGGGCUGCGCUCAGGGUUUCCUGGGUGUUGGUGGCACCGGCUGCAGAGGACCCCGUGCGGAAGCUAAUGGCACACAGAGUGCGGGUACCAGCCCCCUUUUGCUGCACUUCCCUCGAAGCUGUUUGUCUUAACACUAUUUUUGCAAAUAAGAUGCUAUGUGGCUUUAGCCUCCAGGAGAAAAGCUUAAAGCCCUGACAUCUCUUGGCAAGCUCCCCUCCCCGCCCCACCUCUCAUCAAGCACGUCAAGAAGCUGGCUGAUGGGCCGUGAGGGCACGUUGGAGGUGCUGGAUUUUUCUGGGGUGCUCACCUCUUUUCAGACCGAUUUCCAGUUUGCAGGGGGGGAGGUGACCGCUUGUUUCCAGCAGGAUGGCUUUCUCUCUGCAGGAUUUACAUCUGGUCUUUAAUAAACCAGAGAGACAGUGCCAGUCCCUGGGAGCUGGGGAGUGAUUACUGGGCGUCUUCUGGAUGUGUGGUCCUAGGCACAUUACUUAGCUGUCUUAAUUGCCAGUGUUCUUGCUGUAAAGUGCGAUCAAGCAACGCCUUCUGUUUAGCUCAGUGCCAGGAUUAAACGUGAGGCUUUUCGUGUCCGCUCGCGGUACACACCUGUUCAGUAACUCACCCUAUUUCUGAUGGCGGCCGUGCCACUCGCCCUGACGCCGUGGUUUCCCCAGGUGGCUGUGCCCCUCAGGCCUGGGGACGCUGGCCUCAUGUUGGUUUUGUCUGUGGGGUGCAGAGCAGUGCACCACCCUGGGGGAGCGCGAGCUUUGUUAAGGUGGGGGUGCCAGCCUGGACCAGCAAGCGAGGAAACCAGCCUGGCUGCCCGCUUGGCACCACCCUGUCUCCUCAGGUGGAAGCAGGCAGUGCGCCCGCCUCCUGGGGGUCAGAAGCUUGUCGCUGGCAUCCCUGGGUGAUGCCUUUGUCCCCCCGCUCCCCGCACUGGACGGUCUUGGUUGGGGGACGUGUCUCCCCCGUGUGUCGGUGGGUUUGACCACCUCCGCUAAUUGGUGUUCAAGAUAAAGAGAAUCUGCUUUGCUCAGUAAUUACCUUUUUUUCCCGUUAGAGUCAUUCUUUAGAAACGGCACCUUUGUGUGCAUUCCUGACUCUGAGGAUGUGCAUCACUGCCUGGUCCUCCACGAACCGCGUGCUUUUCCUGUGACAGGCGGGGGCGAGAGGUGUGUCUGACCCCUGCUGGGAUCCUCACCUGUCCCCUCCUUCUGCGAGGGCUGGAUCCGGUCGUUUCCAUCCUGCUGGUGGCCGAGCCUAGGGAGCACCUUGCAGUGUCGGUUGCCUGCUCACACGUGGUCCAGGUGACCGCAGUCCUGCUCCGUCACGGGCGCAGCGGUGCCGACUUUGGCAGAAGUCCGCAAACCUGGACGUGGGUGUUUCCUUCCUGGGUGUUUCCCGGGGGCACUGUACUCCCAGUAACUCCUUGCUCAGAGUGUUUGGGAGGAGCCGUGGACUGAUUUUAGAGCUGCCUGCGGGAGUUCUGCCCCCACUGAGAAGGCAGAGGCCAGUGGCCUUGCUUCUCAUGUG
rnacentral:lncRNA from 1 species